UCCGGCUCAACGCCGGCAGUCUCUCUAGAGUCCCCACCAUCACGUGCUGGCAACUAAAGACGGGGGUUGCGCUCGUUGCGGGACUUAACCCAACACCUCCGGUUAAUCCUUCGCUUUCGCGCAGGCCAGACUAUUCCAUCACCUCACGGACGUCGUGAGGGCCGGCGUAUUGCGGCGUCUAUAGAUUUACUGCUUAAAAACGCCGCCUCGGCAUAAAGCCUCAGUCGUUACGGGGUCAAUCGGAAGCGCUACCAGUUCGUCUAUCUUCCGACGACUUCCCUCGAGAUUGCCGACCGCCCUAUGUAGACGAUUACGGUUUCCUCGAUAUGAGCCGGUUU
rnacentral:misc_RNA from 1 species